AUUGAUCGCUGGCGGAAUGCUUUACGCAUGCAAGUCGAGACGGCAGCACGGACUCUCGGUCUGGUGGCGAGUGGCGAACGGGUGAGUAAUGUACUCGGAUACGUGUCCAGUCGUGGGGGAUAACGUAGUGAAAACUUACGCUAAUACCGCAUACGAUCUAUGGAUGAAAGCGGGGGAUCGCAAGACCUCGCGCGAUUGGAGCGGCCGAUAUCAGAUUAGGUAGUUGGUAGGGUAAAGGCCUGCCAAGCCACCGAUCUGUAGCUGGUCUGAGAGGGCGACCAGCCACACUGGAACUGAGACACGGUCCAGACUCCUUCGGGAGGCAGCAGUGGGGAAUUUUGGACAAUGGGCGAAAGCCUGAUCCAGCCAUUCCGCGUGCAGGAUGAAGGCCCUCGGGUUGUAAACUGCUUUUGU
rnacentral:rRNA from 1 species